rnacentral:rRNA from 1 species
AUACGGAGGAUCCGAGCGUUAUCCGGAUUUAUUGGGUUUAAAGGGUGCGCAGGCGGCCAUUUAAGUCAGCGGUUAAAUCGUGGGGCUCAACCCCAUUCUGCCGUUGAUACUGGGUGGCUUGAUUGCGGUCGAGGUUGGCGGAAUUCGUUGUGUAGCGGUGAAAUGCAUAGAUAUGACGAAGAACACCGAUUGCGUAGGCAGCUGACCAGACCGCAAAUGACGCUCAUGCACGAAAGUGCGGGGAUCGAACAGGAUUAGAUACCCUGGUAGUCCGCACAGUAAACGAUGAAUACUUGUUUUCGGCGAUAUAAUGUCGGAGGCAAAGCGAAAGAGAUAAGUAUUCCACCUGGGGAGUACGCCGGCAACGGUGAAACUCAAAGGAAUUUGCGGG